rnacentral:snRNA from 1 species
AUGCAAGGCGAUCUGACUGUGAAAUCUGCCACUCCAUUGAUUGUCAGGGUGGACUUGACUGACCUGCCUGCAUUUUCCUAGAAAAUGUUUCCUUUCACCUUUAUAGUCUUCUGUCCAUCCCUUCAAAGCUUCAUACUGUGUGUAGGGAGACAGCCAUCCUCUGUAGAAAGAAAUAUUCUUUGGCCCAGGUAAUAUGAGUGGCUUUGCUCCCCUACUAGAAUCUUCCAACAAACUCACAUAUGUAGUGUGCUUCAAAGGAAAUAAAAAUGAGUCUCCUAGCUCUGAGGUUAUAACCUGACUUUAUAGGGUAAUUGUCCCCAUGUAACAACUCU